GCCUUAAAAAACAAACAGAAAAACCCCAAAAACAACAACAACGAAAAACCAAAAACCAAACAUCUGUGAUGGAAAGUGUGGGCUGGCACUCAACAUCCAUUUUAACCUCCUUCCACUGAGCCUUCUACUACAAGCAGCUGGGAAGCUAAAUGCCUUGUUUUCCAGAAUCUCUUGCAGCUGGAGCUCAAAAUGCCAAGGAGAUGCCCUCAUGCCAGACUUAGAAGGCAGGCGUAAAGUGGAAGCCAUCUUCCUGCUGCUUCCCCAGUUUUCUGCUGGCAAGUGGCAUCGUGGAGAUGUUGGUUUUUCCACAGCAGCUUCAUGGGUAAUGGGAGGCAGAUGUGGUUGUGGUGGCAAGCAACAGCUUCCUCUUCCUGAGAUGAAAGCUCCAGUCAACAAACCCAGCAGGUGCUCCACCUUCCUGAUGUGGCAGCUUCUGUGAGGGGCCAGUUUGGGGGUGUGAUUCUGAGAGCCAUUCCCGAAGGACCCGUCGGGAGCCCGUCUCUAGCACGUCCAGCAAUUUUGUUUCUAGUGCUCAGUGGUUGCCUCUCUUUAAGGAAUAAUGAAGCAAAUUUUUUCUCAGAGAGUAGCCGUCAGGAUAGGCUAGAAUACCUAUACCAGACCAUCCUCAAGUCUCAGCGGCUUCACAAUACAGAGACUACUCUUAGCACCACAACCAGAACGAUUUCUGAAAAAUCUACUGCAUGAUGUCAAGUUUCUGCUCAAUGCCUUCCAAUGGCGCCUAUAUGAAAGCCGGAGUCCUUAGACUAAUUCUAGACUGAUGUGCUGGAGUUCUCAUUGUGGCUCAGUGGUUAACAAACCCCACUAGCAUCUGUGAGGAUGCAAGUUUG